AAAAGAAAGAAAGAAAGAAAGAGAGAAGGAAACUUCUGGAUCAUUUACAUUCAGCUGUCUUAAGAGGAACCAGAAGAGGGAAAGCAGGAGCGAUUCCCUUGAGUCUAAAAAUACAACAAACCAACCAGAAAACAGCACAGAGUCAAGGCACACAGUGAGAGAGAGAGAGAGGCAGAGACACAGGCAGAGGGAGAAGCAGGCUCCAUGCACCGGGAGCCCGACGUGGGAUUCGAUCCCGGGUCUCCAGGAUCGCGCCCUGGGCCAAAGGCAGGCGCCAAACCGCUGCACCACCCAGGGAUCCCAAGAGAAAGGCUUUUAAAUACAGGAAUUUUAAGUGCCCACUACAGGGUCCAAUAGAGAAGCCUAAUAUUAUACAAAGAAGGCCAGAAGAAAAGUGAUUUUGUUACCAUGAUAUUUGGGGAAUACACAAAAAGAGGAGCCCAGGACACCCUGACAAAAACAAACAGCGGGUUUGAGCAGCAGCCUGGGGCUGGGCCCUGGGACAGAUAUGGGGACAUUUAGCAUUUGUGCUAAAUGUUGUGCUUCUGUGUAGAAGACUGUUCUACUCCUCACCUCAGUUUCAAGUCUCAUGUGACAAUGUGCCUAGAAUAAACAGCAGUCAGCAAUCCAGACAAACAAGAGGCCAUGAUGCCUUGUGUUGGACAAUCUCCAUCUUUCCUCUGGAAGCGAUUACCACCACCCAGCAGGUGAUGAUCCCAAGGAAAUGGUGUCCAGCUGUAUUUGCGGCUGAGUUUCCUGCAGUGAGUGUGGUGCACCUGAGUCACUUGAGGGGCAGGGCAGAUCCUGGUUAAAGUGGAACUUCCUGGGUCCUACCAGAACUUACUGGAUUAAAAGUUCUGGGUUGCGCUUUUUGGAUAAUCAUGCUAGGUGUUUCCAUGGCCUACUGAUGGUGGUGGAACACCGGUUAAAAUAAGAACUGAGACCAAACCCUGAGGACUCAAGCUUUAUGUCUGCCAUUACUUCCUAACAGUGGAGAAAUCUCAUUUUUCUCAAAAUCAGAAAACUCUGCUCUUGACAUCUGGGCUGUAAAGACACAGUCCAAAUCUGCAGGUAACAGCGGAGAAUCACUUGCUUUUGCAUCUUGUUGCCAUCUGAGGGGAAGACAGGGCUGCGGCAGCCUGCAUGUUCAACUGGCUCAGCUCUGUGAUUCACAGACCACACAUGGGGCGGAUGACAGCUUUGCCCAAAGACCCCACUUGAGUGGGUGUCACCUGAAGCCCAAGGAAGCAAAAUCUCUUUACUUCCUCUCACAUCACUAGCAACAAUUACUUUUUUUUUUUUUUUUUUUUUUAAGUCUUGAGCAUGUCCAGAUAAACCUGACCAAAGACAAGUUAUUUCACACAGAGUCUGGAGGUGUUUGUGCUGAGAACACAGAAAGAAGCCAGUGCAGGCCAUUCACAGAUGAGAGUGGACAUGCAGAAUCCAUGCUCUGGGGAGAUCUCAGUCUUUGCUUUCUGCCUCAUUGCCUCACCUUUCUGGGAAUAGUUAUCUCUUUCCAGAAUUCAGCAAAAUAGAGAGUUGCGUCCAUUUAUGCCAUCCCCAAAUCAUGCCUUUUGAAACAGUAACUUUCAAAAACCAUCCCAAAUUACCCUAAAGGCAGGAGAGCAGAGGGUGCAGGUGAUGAACGUGGGUUCCUACGUCACAGGACAAAGCUUUCUGCAACAAGUGUUUGAGAAAUCUGCGCUGUGUGAACAGAAGGAUCUUCUAGAUUUGGGAUGAUCAUACCUUUCCCACAGAUGGACGCCAGUAACCAAUGGAUUCUGAUCCUGAACACAUUUAUUGGCGGAGACGGACAUGUUAUCACCUCUGCAUCAAAAUGGGAGCCUCUUUGUCAUCUGUUGGCAGGUGUCACUCAACUCAGAGCAGGGGAGGCACUUAUACCUCCUUAGCACUUUGCAAAAUGGCUGCAAGGAAGCCCGAGAAGUCAAUCUGGCGAAGAGACCAGAACAGGGCUCCUGGGAGAAAACCAGCAGAAGAACUGAAGUGGCUCAUGAACAUCCAUUCUCAGACCUCAGCCCAGUACGUGCAGAAUGGGCGUCAGUCUUCUGGCUGGAGAGGCAGCCCCCUGCUAUUCAAGCCCAGUGUGGUCCCAAACGGCUUGUUAGAAAUGCGACUCUCAGGCCCCAGUCUAGACCUGCUGCAUCAGAAUCUGCAUCUUAACAAGACCCCCAGGUGGCCAUAUGUUCGUGACAGUGUGACAAGUGCUGGCCCAGAGGGCAGAGAAUUUCUCAGUCUGGGUCACACCUGGGGACCUGAAAUGGAAAGAGCAGGCGGCUGAUGGGGUGGCCCUUGGCCUUCAUCCUGGGCAGUGGGGCUGGACACGAUGCUGUGGGCAUGAGUUGCCACUUAGGAUUUUUGCACCAAAGAGCAACUGGAUGUGUUUGAGCUGUAGCUGCUAAUUAGAAGCACCUGAUGCUUCUGUAGUAUGGUGUUUCCCACUUUGUCAAUUUCUAGCAUGGAGCCUGCUGAAGAUGCUGGGGGGAAUCACCCCUUUGUAAUGUCCCUUUGUAGAAACAUGUCAGAGAAUUCUGGCUUGCUGGUACACUCUCCUAUUCCGUCUUCUAAAAAGACAAUAUAAAGAACCCAAAUCAGAGUGGUGCUGAAUUUAUUUUUAAAUCUAUACCAUUUGGGGGUAGUAGCCAAACAUACGAGCAAGUAUUUCCUCACUUCAUUGAUGAUGAAACCUAGAAGGACAAUCUCAAGCUUGAGGGAUCAUCUCAGUGUCCUGGUCUAUGACAUAUCAUCAUUGGUAGUGGGGUCCCCACAAUGCUGUGGGGCUUCUCUGCAUUUGAAGUGUUGAUGAAAAAAGGAAGUUCAUACGUAUCACUUGAGUUCAGAGAUCAGACAGCUAAGACCAU